rnacentral:rRNA from 1 species
UGAGGAAUAUUGCGCAAUGGGCGAAAGCCUGACGCAGCGACGCCGCGUGGAGGAUGAAGGUCUUCGGAUUGUAAACUUCUGUUAAGUGGGAAGAAAGAGCCGUUUUUACUAGAGACGGUAAAUGACGGUACCAUUAAAGAAAGCACCGGCUAAACUCGUGCCAGCAGCCGCGGUAAUACGAGUGGUGAAAGCGUUAUUCGGACUAAUUGGGCGUACAGUGUGUGUAGGCGGCAGGUUAAGUCUGAUGUUAAAUUC